rnacentral:rRNA from 1 species
UACGUAGGGUGCGAGCGUUGUCUGGAAUUAUUGGGCGUAAAGAGCUCGUAGGCGGUGUGUCACGUCGGCCGUGAAAACCUGGGGCUUAACUCUGGGCGUGCGGUCGAUACGGGCAUCACUAGAGUUCGGCAGGGGAGACUGGAAUUCCUGGUGUAGCGGUGAAAUGCGCAGAUAUCAGGAGGAACACCGGUGGCGAAGGCGGGUCUCUGGGCCGAUACUGACGCUGAGGAGCGAAAGCAUGGGUAGCGAACAGG